AAGUUUGGCUGCGAAAUGUUGUAAAGCGCGGAAAAUAUAGCCCUACGAAAUUUGCAAAUUUUGUAUUAAUUUGUAUUACGCACGGGAAAAUGCACCACUUUCGGCCCAAAUGUGGUGCAUUUUCUCGCGCGUAAUACAAAUUAAUACAAAAUUUGCAAAUUUCGUAGGGCUAUAUUUUCCGCGCUUUACAAUAUUUCUCGGCCAAACUU